rnacentral:rRNA from 1 species
UUCGCAAUGCCCGAAAGGGUGACGAUGCGACGCCGCGUGAGCGAAGAAGGCCCUAGGGUUGUAAAGCUCUGUCGAGGGUUAUGAAAUAUAGAUGGGUUAAUACCCCAUUUAUUUGACAAAAGCCCAAAAGGAAGCCACGGCUAACUCUGUGCCAGCAGCCGCGGUAAUACAGAGGUGGCGAGCGUUGUUCGGUAUUAUUGGGCGUAAAGAGCACGUAGGCGGCUCUGCAAGUCAGUUGUGAAAGCCUUCCGCUUAACGGGAGAACGGCAGCUGAAACUACGGGGCUAGAGUACGGGAGGGGAGAGUGGAACUUCUGGUGGAGCGGUGAAAUGCGUAGAUAUCAGAAGGAACGUCGGCGGCGAAAGCGACUCUCUGGCCUAUUACUGACACUGAGGUGCGAAAGUUAGGGGAGCAAACGGGAUUAGAUACCCCGGUAGUCCUAACCGUAAACGAUGGGCACUAAGUAGAGGGGUUUU